CUGCGCAGGCGCCUUCUCCAACAAGGCGACGGGUUUAGUAAAAUUUGUUCCGGAUUACCUCGGGGUGGGUCUUGAACCUCCCCAUUAGCCCCAUGGGCUGCCACGUUACUUCCGGAAACUGAGGUUGGAAAAGGUAAAGCUGCAUCGUCGAGGUCAGCCAUUACAAGGUAGACCCAGGACGAAGAGCCCACUCUCUUGGCGCGCGAAGUGUUUUUUUCGAAGGACCCACUGUUGGUGCCACUCAACCCAGCUUCUGGGAGCGGGGACUCACUCUCCCUGAGAAGUGGACUAUGCUGGUGCCCUCCGCCACCCUCCCCGAUUCCGAAGCUGGAGACUGGUCCUCUCUUCAGUGCUUGGGAGGGUGAUCCAUGCAAGUACCCCAGGUCUGCCUUCUCUCGGGGAAACCCGGAUAAUGGCCAUAAGGGCCUCUGAGGGCCAGCUUCCCUGAAAUAACUUCCUGUCGUGCCUAUGUCGCAAUAGGCCCUUUGCCGCCUCUUAGCCUGGAGGCAGGGUUAUUGGUACUGGACAAAGACAGCCCCUAAAGGGAUAACCCACCCGGAGUCGACUCAGAACGGCCUCUAGUCCCUGCGGUCUCUCAGCCAGACAGUUAUCCACUCUGAUAAUCCACCGGUCAGGGAACCAAGCGGGGCCUGAGCCCAGGCCCUCUGAGAGGAGACCCAACACUGCAGAAUGGGGUGAGGUAGAAUGUGUAGGGAAGAGAGCCUGGGGACAGAGGCGAGAAUGGGAGGAGUCUGGAGCCUGGAACGAGGGCAGGCAAGUCAGACCAUCUGUGGUUCCAACCGUAUUGCGUCCAGCAUUAGCAGAACCCCAGCUAUUUGAUGCCCCCCAUGAUCUCCUCCAUGCUGCCCAUCUCAGAGGUCGCUGGCACCCCCCACCCGGCCCUUCCCAGCUCGCGCACCUGGCGGCCUCGGACUCAGACCCAGGCAGGACCCCAGGGAGACUUCAUUUCUUCCAGGACCAGUGCACAGCAGAGCGGAGCCGAGGCACAGGAAGGUGCUGCCAGGGAAGAGCCUGACCUCAGGAGGCAUCUCUCUGCAGCCGAAGCCAACUGCUGAAACCCAUUUCCUGGGGCUGUCCACUAAACAAACUCCUCCCAGGGCUCCUGGUUCACAGACCUUCAGACCUAGACUGGAAUCUGCACCAUUGGCUUCCUUGGUUCUCAGGCCUUGAGAGUCCAACUAAAUUACACCACCAGUUUACCUGGGUCUCCAGUUUGCAGAUGGCAGAUCUUGGGAUUCUGCAAACUCCAUAAUUAACUUCAAGAGGCUAUCUGAAUUCCUCCACUCUUGGCUCCUUGCACCUAUGAAGCCCAACACCUGCAUCACCCCAACAUCUGCUUCCAGUGUCAUCCAGUGACUUCUCCUUCUCUGACUCUGACCUCACUCUCCUGCCUCUCUCUUUUUCCUGUUGGGACUCUUUAUAUGUUUAUUUAUUUUUGAGAGAGAGUGUGUGCAAGCAGGGGAGGGGCAGAGAGAGAGGGAGACAGAGAAUCCCAAGCAGACUCCACACUGUCAGCACAGAGCUGGAUGCGGGACUCGAACCCACCAAUGGCGAGAUCAUGACCUGAACCAAAAUCAAGAGUCGGUCACUUAACUGACUGAGCCACCCAGGGGCUCCAGGACAAACCAAAUUUUAAACACAAAAGCCGUUUAUUAACCAUGUAAUAAAUUUUUAAACUCAUAAAAAGCAUGAGAGGCAAAAAUAUGAUAACGUGGGAAGAAAAGAGAGACUGGGGAAAAUGGCUAUGUGUGUAUGUCAGGUACGUGGAUAAUAUCAAUAAUAUACAGCAUAUGGAUCUUUCAAAUUGAAAACAAAAGAGAAAAGCAGUCAAAGCAUCUGGGUAUCCUAUUCACAGAGGAGCUCAACAAAAUAACAAGCACAUAUCUGAAAAGGACUUUCCUACUAGUGGAGAAAUGCAAGUUGAAAUUAGGAUAAAAUGAUGAGACAUCACCUUACUUAGGCCUAUCAAACUGAUACAAAAUGAAAAAGCAUAAAGACCCAUAUGGCAAGUGGUGAUGCAGUGGUGUGUAGUCAAGUGUACUCUCCCAUAUUGAAGGUGCAAUUGUAAAAUGGAAAGCAAUCUGGAAAUAGAAAUUAACACUUAAAAUAUAGAAAAUAACGUGCUCAACCAUUACACUCCUAGAAAGCUAUUCCAUAGUAGUCAUAGGUAAGGAGUACACACAAGGAUAUUUCUUCAACACUGGCCACUGAGAUGCCAAAGAAUGGAAAGGGAGGGAGAGGGGAGGGAAAGAAUACAGGUAGGAUAGAUAUUAUUUCUUCUUUAAAUGAAACUACUUGAAUCUGGAAAUUUUGUGAGGAUGUUUAUAAUUAUAAAUGUAAUAUCUUCAGUAGAUUGUAGAACUAUAUGGACUUUUCUUUUUUCCCUUGUGUCAGUUUUUUGGGGGGGGGGGUUGAAGUUGGUUGUUUUUUGUUUGUUUUGUUUUGUUUUGUUUUGUUUUGUUUUGUUUUGUUUUGUUUUAAGAGAGCUCACAAGCAUGGGAAAGGGACAGAGAGAGAAGGAGACCGUCUCAAGCAGGCUCCACACCCAGAUCAGAGCCCAGGGCUUGAUCUCAUAUCCCUGAGAUCAUGACCUGAGCCAAAAUCAAAAGUUGGAUACACCCAGGCCUCCCUUGUCAGUUUUGAUCUAGACAGCACCUUGGCGCAUUUAUUGAUACAUUCCAAGUAAGAGUUGUAAUUUUAUUGGUUUUUUCUCUCUAUCCUUCAUCUCUAUUUCUUUUAAUUUCUACUUUAAUCUUUAUAAUUUCUUUUCUUUUACUUGCUUGGCAUUUAAUUUGCCUUCUUUUGCUAACUUCCUAAGGUGGGAGCUUUGAUCAUUUCUUUUUUCCCAAUAUAAGCAUUUUAAGUUAUAAAUUUCCCUCAAUGCUUUAACCGCAUUCCACAAAUUUCAAUAUGUUAUGUUUUCAUUGGGUCUAAACUAUUUUCUCAUUUACCCUGUGAUUUCUUCCUCAACCCAUGGGUUAUUUUCUAGUGAGUUUUGCAAUUUCCAAAUGUUCUUUGCUUUUCUUGGAUUUUUUUGUAGGAUUUCAAUUGCUUGGAGUCUCUUAAGACUUGUUUAUGGCCUGCCAUAUGGUCUGUAUUGCUGAAUGACACAUGUGCGCUUGAAAAACAUGUGUAUUCUGCAGUCCUUGAAGAUAUUGUUGUAGAAAUGAAUGUGAAUUCAGGUAAUGGAUGCUGUCACUGUGACCUACCAUAUCCUUCAUAGUUUUGUACCUUGUUCUACUGUUUAAAGUCUGCAAUUAUAAUUGUGAAUUUAUUUAUUUCUCCCUUAAUUUUUCAGGUUUUUAUGUAUUUUAAAGCUCUAUGAUUAUAUGUAUAUAUAUUUAAAACUGUUAUAUCUUCCUAAUGAACUGACUCAUUAUUAUGGAGAGUCCCUCUUUGUCUCUAGGAAAACUCUUGGCUAUAAAUCUACCUUGUUUUAACUACACCCUGA